GGGAAACGGGACAAGGGGCCAGCCCCAGGCCCCUCUAAACAAUGGGGCA
rfam:Chlorocebus sabaeus isolate 1994-021 chromosome 1, whole genome shotgun sequence.